rnacentral:rRNA from 1 species
AACGCGAAGAACCUUACCUGGGUUUGACAUGCACAGGACGCUGGUAGAGAUAUCAGUUCCCUUGUGGCCUGUGUGCAGGUGGUGCAUGGCUGUCGUCAGCUCGUGUCGUGAGAUGUUGGGUUAAGUCCCGCAACGAGCGCAACCCUUGUCUCAUGUUGCCAGCACGUUAUGGUGGGGACUCGUGAGAGACUGCCGGGGUCAACUCGGAGGAAGGUGGGGAUGACGUCAAGUCAUCAUGCCCCUUAUGUCCAGGGCUUCACACAUGCUACAAUGGCCGGUACAAAGGGCUGCGAUGCCGUGAGGUGGAGCGAAUCCUUUCAAAGCCGGUCUCAGUUCGGAUCGGGGUCUGCAACUCGACCCCGUGAAGUCGGAGUCGCUAGUAAUCGCAGAUCAGCAACGCUGCGGUGAAUACGUUCCCGGGCCUUGUACACACCGCUACAGU